UCACUUUGAGGUAAGGAAACCUGCUUGACUCCCAACUAAAUCCAAAUGAAUCUGCUCUUAUUUUAAGUCAUCCACGGUCAUUAAUAUCUUGUAUUGUGCUUAUUUACAGAAACUUCUCCACACGAUGAGAGCAAAGUGGAGGAAGAAGCGUAUGCGCAGGCUGAAGCGUAAAAGGAGAAAGAUGAGGCAGAGGUCAAAGUAAGCCCUCAUUGCAUCAGCUGUGCUCCUGUCAAAGCCUCGCCAGAUGACUUGACCCCCUCCUUCAGUGGAUUGAAAGCCUCCACCCGGAUGUCUGACAACAGAGCCUCAAAUUGAGCACGCUGUGGACAUCGGACUGGAAGAUGGAUGACACUGGACGGAUCUCUCACCAUCAGAACUGCAGCUGCUUUGUUCAUGGACCAGAAUACGAUCUCUUGACCUUCAUGUGGUGUAUUGAACAAUAAAUGAACACUGUUAAAACUUAA